UAACUACUCCCUCCGUUUCAUAAUUCUUGUCUCAAAUUUGCCCAAAAAUGGAUGUAUGACAUGUAUCUAUUCCUAAAAAGCGUCUAGAUACAUGUAAUAUUUCGACAAGAAUUAUGAAACGGAGGGAGUAGAUA
rfam:Brachypodium distachyon strain Bd21 chromosome 2, whole genome shotgun sequence.